rnacentral:rRNA from 2 species
CGAGAAAACCUUUGCAAUGUGCGCAAAGCACGACAAGGUUAAUCCGAGUGUUUCCUGCUAAAGGAAUCUUUUGUUAGUCCUAAAAACACUAGCGAAUAAGGGGUGGGCAAGUUCUGGUGUCAGCCGCCGCGGUAAAACCAGCACCUCAAGUGGUCAGGAUGAUCAUUGGGCCUAAAGCAUCCGUAGCCGGCUCUGUAAGUUUUCGGUUAAAUCUGUAUGCUCAACAUACAGGCUGCCGGGAACACUGUAGAGCUAGGGAGUGGGAGAGGUAGACGGUACUCGGUAGGAAGGGGUAAAAUCCUUUGAUCUAUUGAUGACCACCUGUGGCGAAGGCGGUCUACCAGAACACGUCCGACGGUGAGGGAUGAAAGCGU